UGUUGCUUUUUGUUUUUAAGCAAAUUUGGUUUGCAUAAUCAGAAAAUGGGGAAAAGACAAGCAGGUUUGUAUUUUCAGGCUUUUCUCCACCACACUGUCCAAACCAUGGAUGCACCGACUUAAAUCGUUUAAUUAAACUGAUUUCCUGGAAGAUUAAAUACAUUCAACUACAGUUUAAACUUUUUUUUAUUUGAUGCUUUGCUAACUUUGAAAACUUUAAAAUUUUAAGUAAGUUGUAAAUGUCAUGGCGGAAAAUGACAGUCUUUGUAAAUGUAUGUAGUAAGACGUCUUUGUGUCUGCACUUGUUGCAUUGUGGGCAGGCUUGUGGUGAGAGCUUGUAGGGGGAUAAAUUCAGAGUUUCCUUUCCCCACUCUGAAACCGCAAUGGUUGUGCUUCUUGUGACAAGGUUUGGUUGAGGGGGGGGAGAGGCAGAGGGGCUUGCAUUUAUUAAGAGCAGAGAUGAACAUCUGAAAGCUCAGAACAGCGUAGACACCUUCAGCGUGAAGAACAGAUUCAACCUGUCUGCCAUGCCAGAAAUUCUUCAUUGAUUCAGGACUCAUUCAGAAGGAGAUUUCAUACACCAGGUGAUCCGAGUGAGGACUGAAGGAUUCUAAACUUCAGACUGAGGAGGAUUUAAAAGGAUGCAGUUCACCCUGCUUUCAUCAACACUUCUGUGUGUUAUUGCAUGGAUGAAUUCCAUCCAAGCAGUCCAUGGACAUGUGCAUGACUGUAAAUGUGUCAGGCCAAGAGACACGCAAAUUCCUAAAACAAAACUGGUCAGCUACACCAUUCAAGAAGAAAGCAUCUGUAAUGUAAGAGUAGUAAUAUUUACAACAGUCAAAGGAAAGAUACUUUGCUCUGACCCAAACUCCAGUUGGACAAAAGAAGGGAUGAGGACCUUGGAUGUAAAGAAAGCCAAGAUGGAGGCGCAGAGAAAAGAAGCAGAACAUAACAAAACUCCAGCAGCAUCUACAAUGAACCCAACGCUGACCCCACAGACAGUGUCCACAGCCAUCCCUUCAGUGUCCACAUCCACCCCUUCAGUGUCCACAGUGGCACCAACAGAAACAACAACAGAGGCAGCAGCGGCAACAUCUGAAGCGUCCACUCUGAAACCAACAGCAGCGCCAUCAUCAGCUCAGACUCUAAGCUCAUGCCAAAAAAAACAGAAAGAACAAAACAGAGGAAAUAGAAGACA